rnacentral:rRNA from 1 species
GACGGAGGAUGCAAGUGUUAUCCGGAAUCACUGGGCGUAAAGCGUCUGUAGGUGGUUUAAAAAGUCCACUGUUAAAAAUUGAAGCUUAACUUCAAAGAUGCCGUGGAAACUUUUAAACUUGAGUAUGGUAGGGGUAGAGGGAAUUUCCAGUGGAGCGGUGAAAUGCGUAGAUAUUGGAAAGAACACCGAUGGCGAAGGCACUUUACUGGGCUAUUACUAACACUCAGAGACGAAAGCUAGGGUAGCAAAUGGG